UACAACGAGUUGCGAGUCGGUGACGGCGAGCUAAUCUCUUAAAGCCAAUCUCAGUUCGGAUUGUAGGCUGCAACUCGCCUACAUGAAGUCGGAAUCGCUAGUAAUCGCGGAUCAGCACGCCCGCGGUCCGAAUACGUUCCGGGCCUU
rnacentral:rRNA from 1 species